UCAUCAAUAGGAUCAACUAGUGUAUCCACACUCACAACAUGUGCAUCAUCAUCAAGUGGCAAAGAAACAAUACACUCACAUAUAGGCAAGCUACAACUCACACUCAAUGGGCUACUAGCCACACAAUUAUCAUUCACAUGUACAAAAGUAUAAGAGUUUGCCAUUUUACCUUAAAGUCCUUGAGUAGAUUCUUCUUUGUCAUGGUGUGAAGGUCCUCCAAAAGUUUGGGCAGCAACUUUCUUUUGGCAUUGUUCUUCUUCGCUUGCCAUGUUGGUACCUACACAAAU
rnacentral:lncRNA from 1 species